AAGUUAGGGGCGCCGCGCGCCCCCGCCGGCCUCUUCCCGCCGCCUCGACCCCACAGCCUACUCUCCGCGCCGCCGCCUCACUGGGCCCGGCCCGCGCGUCGCCCCGCAGCCGCCGCGGCCACCAACCCCGGCGCGUCCGCCAUCUUUGUUUUCCCUGCGCGCCCCCCCGCGCCACCGCCCCCUCGUCCUCCCCAUCACGUGGGCUCCAAGCGGGGCCAAUGGGACCGCCGCCUGGAGCUAGACGGCACGGCGCCCAGAGCCAAUGGGUGCACGAAGCGCGUGAGGCCCGCCUCCUGUGGAAGGUGGGCCUGAGGGGCGGGGCCAGGACGACCCGUGGAGGGGCGCGCACCUGAGGUGAGGAAGCCCGCCUAGGGGCGAAAGAACGGCCCCUACACGCGGCAAGUCAGCGGGGUCGGGGGUCUCCCUUCGCCAUCGUGUCCCAACACUCGGGGUUGAAUGUGGCCUGGCUUUCCCGAGUGGAAGGGCACCAACUUUAAAGAGCCCGGCCGACCACCCGUCGUGUAUGGCAUAGGAUAUGCUUCUGCUGGACUCAUCGGAACUGCCCGGGGGAGGGGGCACACUUGGGACCUCUAACCCCCUGCUCUGUUCAACCCGGUUUCCUAUCCCUGGGGUUGGAGGCCGAAGAAGGGUCCACAGAGGAAAGUGAAGGUCUUAGGGAAUAGGAUUUUGCUCGCACAGACUGGAAGGCAAACAGGGAAGGGAGAUGCAUUUCUGCGAAUCGCUGCGGUACAGCCAGCCCUCCCUUGCCCUUACUAACCCAGCCAUCAGCCCGUGAAGGUCACUGCCCCAGAGGGCCACCUGCCAGGCUGGGCAACAAUAUCCGGAAUCUACUAUGUCAAAGGAGAGCAAGGGCUCUGGGGCUAUAUAUUCAAGGCACAGCAGCCCCUCCUGACAAAUGUGCCAGAAGGAGGCCAGACUGAAGGAAGCCCAUGCAUGUUCCAGCACAUCCCCUCUCUUUGUUCAGGGAAAACAGCUGAUGCCCUGGAGGCUUCAGGAAGCUCACCAAAGGCUCCUCAGUCCCUCUCAAGAAUUGGCAAAUUUCAUAUUCCUGUAGAAUUCCUAAGGUUUAUUGGAGAUCAAGUCUCUGAACCCACAACUAUGUCUUUCCCAGAAGGAGGCCCCCAAAAUGCCUGGGACCCUGGCCCUUUCAUUCUGGUCUAGGCAAGUUCCUACAGUGACUGGAGAAGAGACAGCACCUAAGCUCCAUUCCUGAUCAGUCAACCUGCAGCAAGCCCACUGUAGGAGGAGGGAAAGCCUAUUCCUAGGGGAGGAAGCUCCAGGAGCAGGCUGGUGGAAAGGAAGGUGGUAGCCAAGGGAGAAGCUCAGCCUUGCUGUGUGCAACUGUCAUUCCCACUGCAGGCGCUGUGUGUGCAGGGCCCGGCAAUAGGCCCAACUGCCUGCAGCCAGGGCCCAGCGACAGACAUCCUCCUUCGGCAGCAGCAGCAGCCUCUCCUCCUCCAGUCGGCUCAGGAGGCCUGCUACACCUAGCAUGGCACCCCCCCACAUCCCAUAAGUGUUGGCUGUGAAAAUAGCCACAAUGAGGAUGGUCACUGCGACCACCAGCAGUACUGCCUGACCAGCCACAGAGCAGCCUUCAGGGCCAAGGUGAUCACCAGCCACUGCCAGCACCAUGCCUCCGCCCAGGAGUAGGUUAGCAGAGGAGCGGUCCCCGUUCACCCAGUGGAAGUCGAAAGCCAGAAGGGGCAGGCCGAUGACUGUGGUCACCCAGGCUCCAGCGAGACAAUCUUCAUGUGUGCCCAGCCCUGGGACCAGCAUGGAGGCAGCAGCCAAAGCCUGGAGCAGGAAACCAGCAGCAGCCCCUCGACUUGACUGUUAGUGAAGGAAACAAGAGGGUAGGUGACCCCUUUAAACAGGAAAAGGUUUGGACUUCUCAUGGAGACCUGGUCCCACCUUCGCCUCCCAUCACCCUCUCUCUGGUGCAGCAAACUAGGAUUUUAGCGUGUGGGAGUGGGGUUACUUACCUGCGCAGAACUCACCGCUCCAUGAAGAGACACCAUUCCCAGCACCAGGUGGGACAGGACUGUGCUCCACUCACUCCCGGGCUUGGGGGCCAUGGCACUUGGGCAGUAAUGAGUUUGAGGAGACAGGAAAGAGAGUUUUAACUUGGAGUGGAGUAACAGAAGUCAGGGACCUGGAGCCCUAACGGCAGCUCUGCGGGAACCCCAGGUUCCAGGGUCCCAUGACUAGAUGAUAGAAUAGGUACAGUUCUAAAUUUGCCAGAGUCCCAAGGCCACUGGAAACACCUGUGCUAAAAGACUAAUUAGACUGGAAACAGCGGGAACAAAACUCGGGAGCUGGGCAGGGCGAGCAUGAGCUCAAGUAGGUGCAGGACGCGGGGGAGACCGAGCGGCGGGGCACGCAGGCCCUUGUGGCGGCCUGGGCCUAUCCCAGCACUCAGGGAAGCGCCGUCCUCGACACCCGGCCCGGAAGGACCCACGGCGCAGAUCUGUGGGCCGCCAGCCGUUCGCAGUUCUUGACGGCGGCGAGCCAGAGGCCCUGGCAGGUCCACAGCGGUCGGCCCCGCCGCCUCGGGUGGCCUCCGGAGGCCCAGGCGAGCGCGGCCGAGCGCCGCCACCAGCGAGAGGAGUCGAGGCUAGAGAGGCCGGGGCGGGGCCUGAGGGGGUCGGUCGAAGGCUCUAGGAGGACUCGAAGGCGCGAGGUCGGCACCAGCAUCAGGAGCUCGGCCUGGGCUAGUUUGUGGGCGCUGGCAUUUGGAAGGAGCUCGCCUAGCGGAGGGAUCUAGGCGGGGCUUGGG
rnacentral:lncRNA from 1 species